AUUUUUUUUAUAAGAAUUUAAGUAUACAAUUUUGGCGAAAAUUGUUUUAGUAAAAAAUGAUUUGGAACAAAUCUAGUUACUGGUCCACACAAACUGUUUCAAUAUAAUAUUUAUUUUACUAUAAUAUGAUAUGUAUAUUUUUGAAAAACCAAUACCUACUAUUAACCGAGCUCCGCUCAGAAUCGUUUGUUGUUAGCAAUGAUUAAUUUUUGCUUACAGACAUACAUUAAAUUUCCCUCUAUAUCCUACCUUCCCAACUUUUCAUCUACAAUAGUGGUUUAUCC